rnacentral:rRNA from 1 species
GAAGCUAGAAUUCUAACCCAUGACCAUUAUGCUGGUCAGGGAACAGUUUCAGGUGGGCGAGUUUGACUGGGGCGGUCGCCUCCCAAAAGGUAACGGAGGCGCGCAAUGGUCCCCUCAGGUGGGAUGGUCAUCCACCGGCGCGUGCAACGGCACAAGGGGGGCUUGACUGCGAGACAGACAGGUCGAGCAGGGACGAAAGUCGGCCGUAGUGAUCCCACAGUGCCGAGUGGAAGGGCUGUGGCUUAACGGAUAAAAGCUACCCC